UGCCAGAUGCCCCUCGGAACCUCCAGCUGUCACUUAACAACGAAGAGGAAGGUGUAAUCAUUGGGCAUUGGGCUCCUCCCAUCCAUACCCAUGGCCUCAUUCGUGAGUACAUUGUGGAAUACAGCAGGAGUGGUUCCAAGAUGUGGGCCUCCCAGAGAGCUGCUAGCAACUCUACAGAAAUAAAGAACUUACAACUCAAUGCCCUUUAUACCAUCAGAGUGGCUGCGGUGACUAGUCACGGGAUAGGAAACUGGAGCGAUUCUAAAUCCAUCACCACUAUAA